rnacentral:tRNA from 1 species
GCCCCUAUCGUCUAUCGGUUAGGACAACAGGUUCUCAACCUGUGAAGCUCGGUUCGAUUCCGGGUGGGGGCG